rnacentral:rRNA from 1 species
CCUACGGGAGGCAGCAGUGAUGAAUAUUGGUCAAUGGACGAGAGUCUGAACCAGCCAAGUAGCGUGAAGGAUGACUGCCCUAUUGGUUGUAAACUUCUUUUAUAUGGGAAUAAACUGUUCCACGUGUGGGAUUUUGUAUGUACCAUAUGAAUAAGGAUCGGCUAACUCCGUGCCAGCCGCCGCGGUAAUACGGAGAAUCCGAGCGUUAUCCGGAUUUAUUGGGUUUAAAGGGAGCGUAGGUGGAUUGUUAAGUCAGUUGUGAAAGUUUGCGGCUCAACCGUAAAAUUGCAGUUGAAACUGGCAGUCUUGAGUACAGUAGAGGUGGGCGGAAUUCGUGGUGUAGCGGUGAAAUGCUUAGAUAUCACGAAGAACUCCGAUUGCGAAGGCAGCUCACUGGACUGCAACUGACACUGAGGCUCGAAAGUGUGGGUAUCAAACAGGAUUAGAUACCCCAGUAGUC